ACAGAGCUCAAGACCCCAGAUACCAUAACUCACGGACUGGAAGACUCAGCAGAAUAACCAGAGAUCAGAAAGGGAUUAUGACCAAGCUCUUCACACAGGACUCUGUUUAUCUAAGCAAGAAGAGCAGCACUUCUUUAACCAUUUCCACAGUGGCAGAAGUGCUCCGUGUGGGACACACACAUCUGGAUGCGCUACAUCUGAGAGCAGCACUUCUCCAAUACACAGCAGCCUCCAAUAGCAAGCGCGUGCCCAGAGCGUUUUUACACCCACUUCACAACCAGCUUUUUUUGUGAUUAGCAUCAGGAAUUGCAUCCCUUCUCCCACACUGCUGACGAAAGAGCCCAGUGACCUGCAGACCUCUGGCAGGCAGAAUUUAGGAAAGUCACAGCACUGAGCUAAAUCCAUCCUGAAGUUCAAACCAUCCCCUGGGGCUGAAGCUUGGCUACAAGAACCGGGCUGCCCAAAGGGACCAGAGAAAAACUGAGCUCCUACUCACACUGCUGAGACAAACGAUGUUUCCCUCCCCGCCGCCCCAGCGGGCGAUGCACGCAGCACGAAGCACUCCGUGUUCUCAGCGCUGCAUGCUCCUGUCCACACAAACGCUUUUUUUUCCACGUGGGAAGCCCCAGCGAGGCCAAACAAAGGGAUUCUUCAGAUUUCAGAGAUCAGGGGCAGUCACAGGGCACUCAGCCUAGCGUGGGCUGGAGAGCAGAACACGGCUCUGACACGAGCACCGGGCAGAUUAUCACAGGACAUUGCACUCAGGGAAAGUGCUCAUGUGAUUGGGAUUUAACAGACGAUUAAAUAAUGCCGGCAUUUCUGACAGCUCAUGAAGAAACUGUGAUUAAAGGACUCCAGAAAAACUCAUUUUCCUUCCUGGCUCCAAUGCCAACCUCAGGAAUUUCCCUUCCAUUAAUACAGAUGUUCAACCAAAGCCAACCAGAGCAACUGCCCCCCACUCCAAUGGGAAUGGGACAGUCCUGCCACCAGGGAGCCAGCCCUGAGGAAGCUCGGCAUGGGAAGCUGCCCCGUGCCUUGGACUUCAUCCAAAGGGCUCCAGCCACAUGGUUCACACCUCCAGAUUUCAG
ensembl:lncRNA